UUCUGGCCCGGGGGCCGCGGGGCGGGGAGCGCCGGCACAGCCCAGGGCCCCGGAGCGGCUUCCACGCGGGGAGCCUCGGCUGCUCUCAGAUUGUGUCUUGGGAGAAAUCAGGAUACAUUCAGAGAAGCUGAGACAUUAGCUAUCAGGACCUUCUAUGAAUGCCCUGGAACCCACUUGCUGAGCCAGAUGAGACCUUGAGGAUGCAAGUGCUGAAUGCACAGACUCAGAACUAAGAGCCAUGAGGUCCUGGAGGCGGUAUAUGGAAGGUGUGUCAUUGUGAAAUGGAAACCACCAAGUGUGUAAGAGCAUUUUGCAUUGGGGAGGGAAAGGAUGGCUUCCUGCCAUCAGGCUUCUCUGUUUUGUCCUCCCCAGUCCCUGUGCUCACACACCAGGAAUUUACCCUUUGCAUAAUUGACAAAGAAGUUAAGAUCAUAACAUGCUGAAGAAGAAAGUAAACAUGCUUUAUGAAUGCUAUGGACAAUGAGGAAUGGAAGCAGAAGAGUAAUAUGUUUUGUGCGAAGGUUACAAAUACUGCUGUUGGCAUGUAUGUUCAGAACCACAAAGUCUUAUCUCAGGGCUGUGCCCCAUGCAGCCAUCCCUUUAAUAGGCUGGGAUUCAAUGGCCCUCCCAGCUGACCAUGUGACCUGGCCAUUGGCCACUACCCAAGAGUCAUUAAAAACUCAAACAUGGUGUCUUUUAUCAUUGUUCAAUUCUAUCACUGCUGGGAAAACAGUGGGCAACUCAGCUGAAGGUGUGGAUUUGUUUUU